rnacentral:rRNA from 1 species
UACAGAGGUGGCAAGCGUUGUUCGGAAUUACUGGGCGUAAAGCGUGCGCAGGCGGUUUUGUAAGCCAGAUGUGAAAUCCCCGGGCUUAACCUGGGAAUGGCAUUUGGGACUGCAAGGCUGGAGUUUGGCAGAGGAGACUGGAAUUCCUGGUGUAGCAGUGAAAUGCGUAGAUAUCAGGAGGAACACCGAUGGCGAAGGCAGGUCUCUGGGCUGAAACUGACGCUCAUGCACGAAAGCGUGGGGAGCAAACAGG